GAUGAACGCUGGCGGCGUGCCUAAUACAUACAAGUCGAGCGAACGGACGAGAAGCUUGCUUCUCUGAUGUUAGCGGCGGACGGGUGAGUAACACGUGGAUAACCUACCUAUAAGACUGGGAUAACUUCGGGAAACCGGAGCUAAUACCGGAUAAUAUUUUGAACCGCAUGGUUCAAAAGUGAAAGACGGUCUUGCUGUCACUUAUAGAUGGAUCCGCGCUGCAUUAGCUAGUUGGUAAGGUAACGGCUUACCAAGGCAACGAUGCAUAGCCGACCUGAGAGGGUGAUCGGCCACACUGGAACUGAGACACGGUCCAGACUCCUACGGGAGGCAGCAGUAGGGAAUCUUCCGCAAUGGGCGAAAGCCUGACGGAGCAACGCCGCGUGAGUGAUGAAGGUCUUCGGAUCGUAAAACUCUGUUAUUAGAGAAGAACAUAUGUGUAAGUAACUGUGCACAUCUUGACGGUACCUAAUCAGAAAGCCACGGCUAACUACGUG
rnacentral:rRNA from 1 species